rnacentral:lncRNA from 1 species
CCGAUGUCAUUUCUUUAUAGUGUGUCGAACGCACAAGACGGUACGGUUCGCCUUUUUUGAAAUUAGUGAAAUUUACGCGUGGUUUUCGCGCGUUUAAUAUAGCAUUAUGCCAAAAGUGAAAGUGAGUGUAUCUAAAAGAGCCGAGAUUAGGAAAUUGGAAAAACGUUUGAAAAGGAUGGUUGAAUCAUGUCGUGAACAUGAUUCCGAUGAUUCACGCCGGGAGCGUGUGCAUAGAAAGAAAGACCGUGAGUCUAAAAAAUCACGUUAUAAACGUAGGAGGAUAUCUGUAAGUUCUUCUGAUAGUUCAGAAUCGAGCUCUCGCAGUACAUCCCCAGUGCCCAUAAAGGGAUUUCGGCGAAUUAUUUCCUCAGACGAGGAGUCAAGUAGCCUGAAUACGAUGGAAAAUAUUGACGAUCAUCCUCCCUCUGUUACCUUGGGAGAUGACAUUCUAUCAUUAUUAGGUCCCAAUCUAGCUCAGUCCGAUAACAGGAGUCCUAUAACAAGAUUCAACAAGACCUAGCAGAUAGAUGGAUGGCAAUCCUUAAACAAGGUUUAUCUACAGAGGACCGAGAUUCUUUAAUCUCAGCAUACCCUAUUCCUGAGAAUUGUGAUGAAUUGAACCCACCUAGGCUCAAUGAGGUGGUCCAAGCGGCAUUCUCGGAAUCAGCAACACGAAGAGACAUACGUCUAGCUCUUUUACAGACUCAAGUAGCAGCCGCUAUCUCCGCUUUGGGACUAGCUCUGUUUGAUUUGCUUCAACAAAAUGAAGGGGAGGCCAACAGGAUAAAUAUAAAGAGGCUGAGCGAUGCUGGCCGUUUAUUGGGAGAUCUUUUUCAUUCAGAGUCGAAUUCUCGUAGAGAGCUCGCAUCUAUGGUGGUUAAUAAGGAGUUAAAAGAUACUCUGUAUAAGACUGUUAUAACGGAAUGGCUCUUUGGUGAUGACUUAGAGGAUAAAAUAAAGGGAUCGAAAAAUAUGCAGAGAUCCGGCUAGGAACUUAAAAUCCAGAAACCCAAUCCGUUGAAAAAUUUAAACUCGAAACGUCUGUCCAUAACUCCAUUCGGGACGCGCCAGGGCAGACAACAGGUACAGCAGUCCCGGAGCCGACACAGCAGAACCUGGAAACAGCAGGACUUCCGUCGCCGACAGUACUCCGACAAGAGGAACCAACCAUCGACUUCCAGGAGACGAGACAUGAGAAUUUAAGGUCUCGAGAGCCUCAGAGAAUGACAUCGGUUGACAGGACUAGUUCAGGUGCCAGCGGAAAGGUAUUUACAGCCUUUUUUUUUGAUAGUGUGUGUUCGAAGCAGUAUAAACAAUACUACAAUAUGUACCCUAUUUACUUCGUCGAGGGAUGAAUAUAAUUUAGAUCGAACAUCACUUAGUAAGGAAAUCAUCUAGUUGAUCGUCUUGCUCUCUACGCCGAUUUAACUACCAGGGGCUUCACCAGGUGUUCCUUCCGUAGUUCGCCGUGAGUGAGGAUGUCAGGACGUGAAGAAUUAUGACUUCGGGAUUCUUUUAUGGUUCUUUUUCUGUUAAAGGAUAGGAUCCACCGUUACUAGUUAGAAUGCUCGUGUUCUAGCAACGUUGUCAGAUCCUACUAUCGACUGCGCCAAUUGUUAUAUCACUGAUUUUAAAAUUACCUUUUUAAAAAAUAUUUUUAUUAUAUAAAAUUAUAGGUUUUAAAAAUUA